UACGGAGGAUCCGAGCGUUAUCCGGAUUUAUUGGGUUUAAAGGGUGCGUAGGCGGAAUUGUAAGUCAGUGGUGAAAGCCCUUCGCUUAACGAAGGAACUGCCAUUGAUACUGCAAAUCUUGAGUACAUUUGAUGAGGGCGGAAAUGUGUCAUGUAGCGGUGAAAUGCUUAGAUAUGACACAGAACACCGAUUGCGAAGGCAGCUCUCAAAACUGUAACUGACGCUGAGGCACGAAAGCGUGGGUAGUC
rnacentral:rRNA from 1 species